UAGGGAAUAUUGCAAAAUGGGCGAAAGCCCGAUGCAGCAACGCCGCGUGGGCGAUGAAGGCCUUCGGGUCGUAAAGCCCUUUUUGAGGGGAUGAGGAAGGACAGUACCCUCAGAAUAAGCCUCGGCUAACUACGUGCCAGCAGCCGCGGUAAAACGUAGGAGGCGAGCGUUAUCCGGAUUUACUGGGCGUAAAGCGCGUGCAGGCGGAUUGGAGAGUUGGAUGUGAAAGCUCCCGGCUUAACUGGGAGAUGUCGUUCAAUACUUCCAGUCUUGAGUGCAGUAGAGGGAAGUGGAAUUCCGGGUGUAGUGGUGAAAUGCGUAGAUAUCCGGAGGAACACCAGUGGCGAAAGCGGCUUCCUGGACUGUAACUGACGCUCAGACGCGAAAGCUAGGGUAGCAAACG
rnacentral:rRNA from 1 species